GUGCUUGCUUUGUCAGCACAUAUACUAAAAUUCAAACGAUACAGAGAAGGUUAGUGUGGCCCCUGUGCAAGGAUGACAUACAAAUUCUUGAAGGGUUCCAAUUAAAA
rnacentral:snRNA from 1 species